rnacentral:rRNA from 1 species
CAGGCUUAACACAUGCAAGUCGAGGGGCAGCAUGGUCUUAGCUUGCUAAGGCCGAUGGCGACCGGCGCACGGGUGAGUAACACGUAUCCAACCUGCCGUCUACUCUUGGACAGCCUUCUGAAAGGAAGAUUAAUACAAGAUGGCAUCAUGAGUCCACAUGUUCACAUGAUUAAAGGUAUUCCGGUAGACGAUGGGGAUGCGUUCCAUUAGAUAGUAGGCGGGGUAACGGCCCACCUAGUCUUCGAUGGAUAGGGGUUCUGAGAGGAAGGUCCCCCACAUUGGAACUGAGACACGGUCCAAACUCCUACGGGAGGCAGCAGUGAGGAAUAUUGGUCAAUGGGCGAGAGCCUGAACCAGCCAAGUAGCGUGAAGGAUGACUGCCCUAUGGGUUGUAAACUUCUUUUAUAAAGGAAUAAAGUCGGGUAUGCAUACCCGUUUGCAUGUACUUUAUGAAUAAGGAUCGGCUAACUCCGUGCCAGCAGCCGCGGUAAUACGGAGGAUCCGAGCGUUAUCCGGAUUUAUUGGGUUUAAAGGGAGCGUAGAUGGAUGUUUAAGUCAGUUGUGAAAGUUUGCGGCUCAACCGUAAAAUUGCAGUUGAUACUGGAUAUCUUGAGUGCAGUUGAGGCAGGCGGAAUUCGUGGUGUAGCGGUGAAAUGCUUAGAUAUCACGAAGAACUCCGAUUGCGAAGGCAGCCUGCUAAGCUGCAACUGACAUUGAGGCUCGAAAGUGUGGGUAUCAAACAGGAUUAGAUACCCUGGUAGUCCACACGGUAAACGAUGAAUACUCGCUGUUUGCGAUAUACAGCAAGCGGCCAAGCGAAAGCGUUAAGUAUUCCACCUGGGGAGUACGCCGGCAACGGUGAAACUCAAAGGAAUUGACGGGGGCCCGCACAAGCGGAGGAACAUGUGGUUUAAUUCGAUGAUACGCGAGGAACCUUACCCGGGCUUAAAUUGCAGAUGAAUUACGGUGAAAGCCGUAAGCCGCAAGGCAUCUGUGAAGGUGCUGCAUGGUUGUCGUCAGCUCGUGCCGUGAGGUGUCGGCUUAAGUGCCAUAACGAGCGCAACCCUUGUUGUCAGUUACUAACAGGUUCCGCUGAGGACUCUGACAAGACUGCCAUCGUAAGAUGUGAGGAAGGUGGGGAUGACGUCAAAUCAGCACGGCCCUUACGUCCGGGGCUACACACGUGUUACAAUGGGGGGUACAGAGGGCCGCUACCACGCGAGUGGAUGCCAAUCCCAAAAACCUCUCUCAGUUCGGACUGGAGUCUGCAACCCGACUCCACGAAGCUGGAUUCGCUAGUAAUCGCGCAUCAGCCACGGCGCGGUGAAUACGUUCCCGGGCCUUGUACACACCGCCCGUCAAGCCAUGGGAGCCGGGGGUACCUGAAGUGCGUAACCGCGAGGAGCGCCCUAGGGUAAAACUGGUGACUGGGG